rnacentral:lncRNA from 9 species
AUGUUUGCUGCAGUCCUCUGUGACAUAGGCGAUGUGGUCCCUGCUAAGAGGGCAGAGGAUGUGAAAGCAACUCGAUCUCAGUAACUUCACUGAUAUGUCUGAUGGUGCUAAACCAUAGUGGGUUUAUAUGUCAAGGGUUCAUGGUUAAGAGGACUUGAUGCACACAUAAAAUAAAAUAUUCAAGGCAAUGACAUUUCUACGGAUAUGUGCACAUGGCCUGGUUUAGGACCAGAAAUCGGAAUGCGAGGCCAGAGAGGACAUUUCAAGGUCAAGGAUAUGAAAGCAGCCAGGACAGCAGACAGCCACCUUCUCCAGCCUUUACUUCAUAUGUGUUUACAUCGGGAAGAGAGAGCAAGCCAGCCUAUGAGAGUGUCAGCAUGCAGUUUCAGGAGGAAGCUGCAAAGAGAAAAAUCCAAGAACUGUUUAGAACCAAUUAGACCCACGAUGAUGGAGGAGGAUUUGACUUCCUUGAAACUGAGCCUCAUUAUAUGCUCCCUGGAACACACUAGCAAGAUGAAUGAUACACCCAUCAACACGAUGACAGUUGACCAUUGCCAUGACAACAAUUGGAAAAACCCAUACACGUACUGAAAAGGAGAGUGGUCAAGCACCAGGUUUAAACCACACCCCUGUUCUCAGAUAACUCAUGAAUAUUCCUCCCAUUCUUUCCAAUUCCUGCCUCCCUUCCACCUCAACCCUCCUAUAUAUUUGGUGUCUCCCCCUACCCCUCCCCAAUUGACUGAGCAUUUGAUUAGUUGAUUUGCGAAGUAGGUUCCUGCCUCUCCAUUUUUUGGCCAUUGACUAAAGCUUGUGCUGUUCCAGUCUCAACACUAGUUUUUAUUAGCUGUGUGAAUCUGAUUGGAAAAAGAACAUCUCUGGACAAGACGGAGGGUCUCAGUCUGGGCUAGAACCCUGGUGUGUGUCCAGCAGACCAAUUCAGUAACAGAACCAAUACUGCUCUCCUCUCAUCUUACACUUCUCACCUCCAGAACUAAGAGACAAUUUUUUGUUAAGCCACUCAGUUUGUAAUACUUUGCUACGGCGGUGCCAGCAAAUGAAUACAACCACCAUCAUUGUUAAUUUUCUAGAGGGCUGUUUCUUAAAUGUCAUUUGAGUAACGUUUUUCAUGGCUUUUGCUAAGGUAGUACAUAGCACCUGUCUUAUUUGCUUUACAUUUUUCUUCAAAAACAUUUUUUUUUUGGCUAGUUGGAUAGAAGAAGA